GAGUCUUCCCCUUCGGGGGACAAAGUGACAGGUGGUGCAUGGUUGUCGUCAGCUCGUGUCGUGAGAUGUUGGGUUAAGUCCCGCAACGAGCGCAACCCUUAAGCUUAGUUGCCAGCAUUAAGUUGGGCACUCUAAGUUGACUGCCGGUGACAAACCGGAGGAAGGUGGGGAUGACGUCAAAUCAUCAUGCCCCUUAUGAUUUGGGCUACACACGUGCUACAAUGGACAAUACAAAGGGCAGCUAAACCGCGAGGUCAUGCAAAUCCCAUAAAGUUGUUCUCAGUUCGGAUUGUAGUCUGCAACUCGACUACAUGAAGCUGGAAUCGCUAGUAAUCGUAGAUCAGCAUGCUACGGUGAAUACGUUCCCGGGUCUUGUACACACCGCCCGUCACACCACGAGAGUCUGUAACACCCGAAGCCGGUGGAGUAACCAUUUAUGGAGCUAGCCGUCGAAGGUGGGACAAAUGAUUGGGGUGAAGUCGUAACAAGGUAGCCGUAUCGGAA
rnacentral:rRNA from 1 species